rnacentral:rRNA from 1 species
GACGAACGCUGGCGGCGUGCUUAACACAUGCAAGUCGAACGGUAAGGCCCUUCGGGGUACACGAGUGGCGAACGGGUGAGUAGCACGUGGGUGAUCUGCCCUGCACUUCGGGAUAAGCCUGGGAAACUGGGUCUAAUACCGGAUAGGACCACUGCCUGCAUGGGUGGUGGUGGAAAGCGUUUGCGGUGUGGGAUGGGCCCGCGGCCUAGCAGCUUGUUGGUGGGGUGAUGGCCUACCAAGGCGACGACGGGUAGCCGGCCUGAGAGGGUGACCGGCCACACUGGGACUGAGAUACGGCCCAGACUCCUACGGGAGGCAGCAGUGGGGAAUAUUGCACAAUGGGCGCAAGCCUGAUGCAGCGACGCCGCGUGAGGGAUGACGGCCUUCGGGUUGUAAACCUCUUUCAGCACCGACGAAGCGCAAGUGACGGUAGGUGCAGAAGAAGGACCGGCCAAUUACGUGCCAGCCGCCGCAGUAA